rnacentral:rRNA from 1 species
GACAGAGGGUGCAAACGUUGUUCGGAAUUACUGGGCGUAAAGCGCGUGUAGGCGGCCCUGCAAGUCGGAUGUGAAAUCCCACGGCUCAACCGUGGAAGUGCAUUCGAAACUGCAGGGCUAGAGUCCUGGAGAGGAAGGUGGAAUGCUUGGUGUAGAGGUGAAAUUCGUAGAUAUCAAGCGGAACACCGGUGGCGAAGGCGGCCUUCUGGACAGUGACUGACGCUGAGACGCGAAAGCCAGGGGAGCAAAGCGGG